CCGACAUGCAACUACGGAGAAGCACCCCAAAAGGGUGCCGGGGCUU
rnacentral:tRNA from 1 species